rnacentral:rRNA from 1 species
GACGGACGCUGGCGGCGUGCUUAACACAUGCAAGUCGAACGGUAAGGCCCUUCGGGGUACACGAGUGGCGAACGGGUGAGUAACACGUGGGUGAUCUGCCCUGCACUUCGGGAUAAGCCUGGGGAACUAGGUCUAAUACCGGAUAGGACCCUGGGAUGCAUGUCCUGGGGUGGAAAGCUUUUGCGGUGUGGGAUGGGCCCGCGGCCUAUCAGCUUGUUGGUGGGGGGAUGGCCUACCAAGGCGACGACGGGGAGCCGGCCUGAGAGGGUGACCGGCCACACUGGGGAUGAGGUACGGCCCAGACUCCUACGGGAGGCAGCAGUGGGGAAUAUUGCACAAUGGGCGCAAGCCUGAUGCAGCGACGCCGCGUGAGGGAUGACGGCCUUCGGGUUGUAAACCUCUUUCAGCACCGACGAAGCGCAAGUGACGGUAGGUGCAGAAGAAGGACUGGCCAACUACGUGCCAGCAGCCGCGGUAA